AUGGGUCCUGGGCUUCUUCACUUUGUGACCCCUUUUCUUUUUGGAGCAGGUCAUGUGUGUGCUAUGGUCAUUCAGAACCCAAGAUACCAGGUUACCAGGGUGGGAAAACCAGUGACUCUGAGUUGUUUUCAGAAUCUGAACCAUGAUACCAAACAAAAGCUGAAUCAAACUCCAAAGUUGCUAUUCUACUGUUACGGUCAAGAACUUAAAAAUGAAGCAGACACUUCUGUCAACUUCCAGUCCAGCCGGCCUAAUACUUCUUUCUGCUCUCUUGACAUUCACUCACCAGGCAAGGGGGACUCUGCUGUCUACCUGUGCAUCAGCAGCAGGGACCCAGUGCUGCAGGGCUGCCUCCUCUCUUGCCUCCAGAUCCAAGUGAUUUCUCUAUGA